CGAGAGGGUGACGCCUGAUUCUCUGCAACACGGGUCCCUUCAAGCUGUCGCGUUAAUUUCGCGCAGGAGGCUCUUCAGCUGGCUGGCUGGUGUGCGUCUGUUUGUUGCGGCCUCUUCUGCGUUUUUGUGAAGUUCAUCUGGUACUCAAGCCAGAAUCCCACGUCGGAAGGCGCGGAGCUGUUUGUGGCGUUCUUCGACAGGAUACUGUGGUCUUUCAGGCUCACCUGGGUCAUACUGAUGUGUGCUACUGGCCGAGGUGGUAAGGUUGCCCUGGUGCCUAUUUGUUAUGUGUUAGAAAAACUAGCGCCAGCCGGAAACUCUAUGGUGAUUGCAAGUGCUGCGUAGAUGCGAUCUUUUUUGAAAGGCAGCGGCAUUUUGGGUUCGUACUUUGUGCACAUGACCGAAGCUGAAACAAAGCCUGCUUCUCUUUAGGAACCUUGAACACCUUCUUGUCCUGGAAAGCAUUUGUCCCAUUGAGCAGGCUUUCGUACGGCAUCUACCUGAUUCACUGGCCGUUUCUCCAACUUAUGCUGCACUCAUCGAGAGAACGAGUCUACUGGUCGGCAUUUAAUCAGAUGACGCUCUUCUUUGCCGUAUUCGUCUGGAGUAUCCUGCUGUCAUUCGUGGUCUUCAUCACAUGCGAGGCGCCGACCGGAGUGCUCGAGAAGCUGUUUUUCAGGAGGUGGAUUGAAGAUGGCGGGUCCCGGAAGCAAGAACAUCAAGAAUAACUUGGAGGUGGUGACGUGAAAGAAAGAACACUAGUGGAGUAGGCGAUGAUAUUUCACUAUGCUAUCCAACCAGUGGCUACCGGCCUUCUCAUGCUAAGUGCACCGGUACUUGUUAGACCAACAAAGCAAAGCAGCAUUGGGCUUGGUCACGAUGUGUAAGCAUAAUAUUGCUGUAUCAACAGAAAUAAAUG